UGUAUUCUCUCUCUCUCUGUCUCAGUAUGGGCGGUAUAUCCGUGCGUUGUUGCGUCAGGAGAAGGGUCUUCCCAUGAUGACAGAGCUGUUGGCCCAUGGCAACGACCGGGUGGUCAGGGCCAUGUCUGGAGCUCUGAGGAACCUGGCUAUCGACGCUCGCAACAGAGACUUGCUCGGUAAACAUGCAGUUCCCCACCUGGUAUCCAACCUGCCUGGUGGGGGUCAGAGCCAGCCUGUGAGGGCUCUGUCAGAGGAGACGGUGGUGUCUGUACUGGGAGUACCCUUCAUGAGGUUCUGGGCUCCAGCCUGGACGCUGCCAAGAUCCUCAGAGCCUCGCAGGGCAUCGAGAGACUGGUGCUCAUCAAUAAGGACGGGAACCGGUCAGAGCGAGAGGUGCGUGGUGCCGGCCUGAUACUCCAGUUAGUUUGGGGCUAUAAGGAGUUGAGGAAGACCCUGGAGAAGGAUGGCUGGAAGAAGACAGACUUCAUGGUGAACCUCAACCCGCCCAACAGCACCCAGCCCCGGGUCAACGGAGGAUAUGAAGACAGUACGCUGCCGCUCAUAGACAGGGGAGGAGGAGACAAGCGAGACAUGAUUCCACUAAAUGAUAUGGGACCAGAUGCCUACUCCACACUGGACCAGAGGGGGAGGAAGAACACUCUGGAUGGAACACUGGAGCCUGCUGACAAAGACACAGCACAGGUACACACACACACAGAGCAUGUUCUCGCAUGUCUCACUAAAUACUGUGGUUAGC